AAACACAUGAACUAUGAACCAAAGGCUGAGGGGACCCCAACUGGAUCAGGCCCUCUGAAUAGCAUAAAUGGAUCAUGGUUUGAGCACACCCAUGGCUGGCUGUCCAUGAAAGAAUGGGACAACUUCCUGGUACUGAGUCAUGAAGACAUGAAGAAGGUCAGCCUCGUUCUUAAAGGCACCACACAGUUGAAGACGAGAGGAAGCGGUCCUUCAGCCACUGUUUACUUUAUAGAAGUGAAGUCUGGUGAUGAGGACGUUUCUGAUAGUUGUGAUUUCUUGUUUGUUUGUUUUUGGUUUGGAGAUUUUCUUUUUAUUAUAUUUUUAAUAUUAAAAUGAUUUUUAUCA